AGUGAACGCUGGCGGUAGGCCUAACACAUGCAAGUCGAACGGCAGCACAGUAAGAGCUUGCUCUUACGGGUGGCGAGUGGCGGACGGGUGAGGAAUACAUCGGAAUCUACUUUUUCGUGGGGGAUCACGUAGGGAAACUUACUCUAAUACCGCAUACGACCUACGGGUGAAAGCAGGGGAUCUUCGGACCUUGCGCGAUUGAAUGCGCCGAUGUCGGAUUAGCUAGUUGGCGGGGUAAAGGCCCACCCAGGCGACGAUCCGUAGCUGGUCUGAGAGGAUGGUCAGCGACACUGGAAGUGAGACACGGUCCAGACUCCUAAGGGAGGCAGCAGUGGGGAAUAGUGGACAAUGGGCGCAAGCCUGAUACAGCCAGACCGAGUGGGUGAAGAAGGCCUUCGGGUUGUAAAGACCUUUUGUUGGGAAAGAAAAGCAGCAGGUUAAUACCCAGCUGUUGUGACGGUACCCAAAGAAUAAGUACCGGCUAACUUCGUG
rnacentral:rRNA from 1 species